AUCCUUCAUAUGUGACACUCACUCUCUCACCCCCCUCACUCACGGUUACCCCAUCCACACAAUCAGCACACACACACAAACAAUACACUCAUUCACUAACACACAUACACAGUUCAGUGAAAGAAAGAAGAAAAGAAAGAAAGGAGAGUGAGGGUUGCGAGAGAAGGAGGAGGAUCCGAGAGAGGGAGAACGCUGGGAAAGGGGGGAGCUGUCCGCGCCGCCAGACCGCUUCCAACCCGCGCCGCCACUGCGCCAUGUUCUGCCGUCAAGAUUGCCUCGCCGUUCGUCCUCGUGCCGCCGUGUUCCUUGCCACUAUAGUCGAGGCCACCGCGUGUCGCCGUCGCUUGUGGGAGUCGAAGAGAGACACGAUCGAGAAGCUGCACCUUGUAGCCGCCAUCGAAGAAAUCACCGCCACCGAACCCCAGCCGCGCCGUCACCGUCAAACGAGGCAAAGAGGAAGAAAGUAACGUCGUUGCCGUUACUGAAAGGGAGCUCGACCAUCCUUGCCGCAGGAGCUUGUCGCCGGAAGAGAGGAGAUGACGACGGUGGAAGUUACCACCGCUGUUCUGCCUCACCGAACGGCGCUAGAAAAUCGCUGCUGCAGUCGCUGGAGGACGUCCCUACAGUUGCCAUACCCUAGCCCACUCCAGUUUGGGUUCCGACUGUGGUUCGUUUAAGCUGAGUCUUGUUCUUCUAAGUGUCGGAGCUGCUACCAUUGCUUCGUCUCCAUGUUUCUCCUUUAUUCCAGAUCGAGUUCCGGUUGUUGCCUGUCGCGCUUAGAGUUCCGGUUGCUGCUACGGAUAGUGGAUAAAGCUGAGGUUGCGGCUGCCGCUGUCGCUGGCCGAGGGAAAAGGGGUUGAUGCGUUUUGAUUUUGAGAGUUUCGACGAGUUGAGGAACCGGAUGAAGAAGCAUUAAGAAGAAUUAUAUUGCGUUUGGUUUAUA